rnacentral:tRNA from 1 species
GUCAGGAUGGCCGAGCGAUCCAAGGCGCUGCGUUCAGGUCGCAGUCCGGUCUUCCGGGCGUGGGUUCGAAUCCCACUUCUGACA